AAAAUAAGGCUGAGACCUACUGAAGCAGGACAUUUCACUGACCCCUUUGUGGAACUCGCAACAGGGGUGCCCCGUUUACUCAGCCCACAGCUCUCAACUCCUCAUAGGAGGGAGUGAGCAAGCCAACAAGGCGGGAACUGGAAUACACGAGUGCUAGAAUCAGCUGGCUACUUCAUAGCUGGCAAGAGCAAACUCCACUCACUCAGACCCGCUGCUUUCCACCCCUCGUCGGACAGGGCACACAGGUAACCAAAGAAUCUGACCCAUAGGGUUUCUAACUCACAAAAGGAGGGUCCAACUAUGUGGAAGCUGUCACCUUUGAUGGAAUUUAUCUGAUACCAUAUAACAUAGGUGUUUGACUUCAACCAGAGUUGAAGAUCCCCCAUCUGCAAUACUGCUGCACCCCCACCUCAAGCCCCAGCUGAUUGAACCCCAGGUGGAUUCCUGAUUCAGGCAAUCCACAGGCUGGGCUGAAGCAAUCAUGAUGUCUCUCUAAGGAAUAUUAAUUAAAAGCCACAGAGACCCCAGUCAGUUUUAAGGAGGUGUGCCGCCAGAAACCAGGGUCAGCACCAUACCAAACCAAAGUUAUGGAGGAGUAAAAACCAAAAGUCUUGCAGAAGCAGCAGAUUUGGAGACAAAAAAAGCAGAACCCACAUGCAGAAAGAAAAGAGAGGCACCACGUGACCCUUGAGACAAAGUGACAGACAUUCCAGUGCUGCCAGACAGAUUUCCAGUAUCUGUGAGGUCCUGCUGUGCACCAGAGAAGAGAGUUCUGGGAAAACCCCUGCUAUGGGUUGAACUGUAUUCCCCAAACAUUCAUAUGUUGGAGCCUUAACCUCCAGGACCUUAGAAUGGGACCUUACUUGGAAAUAGAGUCAUUGCAGAUGUAAUUAGUUAAGCUGAGUUCCUACUGGAGUAGGGUGGGCCCCUAAUCCAAUAUAUUGUUGUCCUUAUAAAAAGGGGAAGUCUGGAGAAUAGUUAUCCUUCCAAGAUAAACUAUUUGCCAAAUAUGUAACAGAGUAACCAGCCAUUUCCAUAUGGGAUUUCUAGUCAUUUCCCAGUUAAAAAUUAAGGAAUAGGUACACGCAGUAAGAGCACUCAGUGAAGAUGAGGGCAGAGAUCAAGAUGCCACAUCUACAAACCAAGGAACACCAAAGAUUGCCAGAAACUAUCAGAAGCUAGGGGAAAGGCAUGGAACAGUUACUUCUUCACAGCCGUCAGAAGGAACCAACCCUGUUGACACCCGGACCUCAGACGUGAAGCCUCCAGAACCGUGAGAUACAAAAUUCCUGUUGUUUAAGCCACUCAGUUUGUGGUACUUUGUUAUGGCAGCUCUGGAAAAUGAAUAUGACCCCUAUAACUGCAUUUCCAUGUGAGCUCAUUUAAGUGGGUGUCUGUUCCUUGAAGAAGAAAAAUGAUAUGAAUCAAAACAUCCCACCUAAACUGCCUUUGCUCUGAGCAGAGGGAACACCCUCUGGCAGAGCCAGGGUUCUUCUCAGAAAAUUAUUCCCAGUCUCCUCCAGGACUAAGAUAAAUGAAUGAGCAAAGUUUAAAAGUUCUCUUCUAAAGAACAUGGUCAAAAUAGUUUUAGCCUGUAAAAUUUGAAGGCAGAUAAAACCAGAAUUCAGCCUUGGCAGAAUAAACUCUCAAUAAAGUAACCUCAGAUCCUUAGCUCCGAACACCACUUUUUUUUUUCCUGUAUUCCUUCCAAGAUAAACUAUUAGCCAGAUAUGUAACAGAGUAACCAGUCAUUUUUAUAUGGGAUUGUUAUUCAUUGCCCAGUUGAAAAUUAAAGAAUCAGUACAAAAAAAAAAAAAACAAAACACUUUUGUUCUAGGAAAGAGAAUCAGAUAUCCUUUUUUAGCAAUAAUUAACUAGCAAGGUCGUGCUGUCACCACGGUUUUUAAAAUACCCUUUUGUCUUUCAUGGCAAGUGUAUGCAUCUAGACCAUCUGAAAGUGGCUCUAGAACAUGAAAAUAUAAAUGUAAAACAAGAAAGGGGCAGGAAAAGAAUGAGGAGCAGGCAAAACAUAACCACGUGUUGGCUAUUUCUAACUCCCUGGUCCAGGAGUACUCAUUAAUCACUCUAAUCCCACAGAAGUAUAAUGAUUCUGAAUAUCUACAUAUGCCACAAAUUAUCUAAUACUGUUCCUGAUUUACUAGGUGUGGAGUGGCCAUAUAUAAAACCUGACUGUUACUCACAUAAAAUAUUGGCCUGAAACUCUCAGACUUCGAAGCAAGUAGCAGAUUUGGAUGGAAUACACCACAAAUUAAUAAAGCCAUAAUCUAGAGAAGGUAAUAAAUUGACUUUUUAAAUAUGAGAUACUCUAAACUCUGGCUUCAGUGGGGAAGAGUUUUUUUUUUUUACUUCAAGUUAUGCUGAUUUAAUUACAAAAUAAGCUUUUCCAAGGCACUGGCCUUUGUAAUGAAGGUAAAUAUUACAUGUUUGCUAAAAAACAGGGUUUUAUAAAACUCCUCACCUCAUAUAAACAAUUGUAAGUCUUUUGUUUUUUCCAGAAAAAAAAAAACUUUCACUAAGUAUUAGUCACUCAUAUAUCUAUAAAUCUCAGAGGAAUUUCCCCAAGCACUCUGGCUUCCCAAGUAGGAGAUUGUUUCUCCUAGUUCAAGUCUCAUUUCACUGUUAGGCUGGCUGUUAUUUCAUGGUGACUUGCCAUGUUAAUAGUAUGUCUUCUAAUCCACGAAUGUGAUAUAGCUCUCCAACUUAUUUGAGUCCUCUUCAGUUUUACUCAACAGUGUUUUGUAGUUUUCUGUGUAUAGGUUUUGGAAAUCCAUAAUUAAAUUUAUCCUUGGGUAUUCUAUGGUUCUUUGUUAUUAUGAAUUGUAUUUUUUAUCUCAUUUCCCAAUUGUUUUGCUGGUAUACAGAAAUAUAAUUUAUUUACCUAUAUGGACCUGGAAAAUUACAGCUUUGUUAAUUAAAUUCAACUAGUUAUAUUAGUUGUUUUGCAGAUUCCUUAG
rnacentral:lncRNA from 1 species